UAAUCCUUUAAAACGGUCCCGUGAGGCUGGCAAGGAGAAAAGCUCAAGUAAAGUGUGCCUUUUUUUAGGUAUGCCAUAAUUUGUAAAUCUCCUUGUAAUCAAGGAGAUUUUUUUGUG
rfam:Streptococcus parauberis NCFD 2020 Noncontiguous_Finished_Chromosome chromosome, whole genome shotgun sequence.